rnacentral:misc_RNA from 1 species
AAAAAAGAUCUACAUAGCAACAAGCCACAACUGCACAGUUUCCAUUAAAGGUGACCACAAUUGCUAUCACAAAAUGAUUCCAAUUUAAAUUCAUAAAAAGUGCUGUUUGAAAGAUAUUGUUCCAUUUGCUAAUCCUAGAGCUUGACAUGGUCAAAAGGCUACAGAUGGAAUUUUAUUUUUCUUUGCCCUGUCAGGCUUAUCUCCCCAGCCCUAACUCAAGAAGGAAUCCUACCACAUUUUAAUUUUGCCUCAAUUUUACAAAUAUAUUCUAUAAUGUAUAGUUUUGUCAUCUAAAAAAUGUGAAAACUUGUUUAAUUUUAGAAACUUCUAAAUAAUAAUAAGAGAGGUUGUCUUCAUGGAAACUUAAUUCUUCACAGUCAACUGAAAAUGACUGGAUCCAGAUUACAGGUGGAUCCAAAUAAACUUAACCAUUUGCUAUUUUUCCCACUGGUCUGGAAAGUUUUUAAAUUUACUUACGAUCUUUACCUACAAAGUAACAUUAGGCCAGAAGUACAUGCUACAACACUCUUUCAAAUAUAACCGUCUAGACUCUUUCAAUUAGGGUACUUUGUAUCAGCUGCCCUUCAACCUUG